rnacentral:rRNA from 1 species
UACGUAGGGACCAAGCGUUGUUCGGAUUUACUGGGCGUAAAGGGCGCGUAGGCGGCGUGACAAGUCACUUGUGAAAUCUCUGGGCUUAACCCAGAACGGCCAAGUGAAACUGUAAUGCUAGAGUGCAGAAGGGGCAAUCGGAAUUCUUGGUGUAGCGGUGAAAUACGUAGAUAUCAAGAGGAACACCUGAGGUGAAGACGGGUUGCUAGGCUGACACUGACGCUGAAGCGCGAAAGCUAGGGUAGCAAACGGG